UUUUUUUUUUUUUUUGCGGGUGACUAAACAGGUAGUACUAGAUGAUCAGAUCGCAUAAUACAUGUCACUUACUGUCCACAUACUGAUGUGCUCUUUGAGAGCUACUACGUGAAUAAACUGGACAAGAUGUCGUGCACGAAUCAUUCUGCCGUCUAUUUAAGACGGUAGUGAGUAGUGACUCUGAUGUGGUGGGAUAGUCUAUGUGGCACUAGUCACUUUUCAAGGCAAAUAUUCUUCUGUCUUGUAUGAUAAGAACUCUGUUUCGUUUUCCAAAAGGACUUCUUUUCUUCUUAUUAGGGCAGAAUGGCCUUUCGUAGGUAAAGAAAUAUAAGAGUACGGAGGGAGUAGUGCAUAAGCAGAACCAGUAUCAGUGUGUUGUGCACACACGAUUAAAUAUCGCAAACUUGCAACUUUUGCCCUCUGCAAGUAGGCAACUUAAACAAGAGCAGCUCCUCUUUUCAGGUCGAAAGCUGCCUUGCGGUUGAAUCGUCUCCCCAUCUUCAACGCACGUAGGGAAGCAUGAGCUGAACAUGUGCUGGGGGGAAUACGGUGCCACUGGCAGUAGAGCACGCUGGAGUACGUAGCUAAACGUGAUUGACCGCACUUGAUCUUAAACAGAAGCAAUUGGUCGGGUUCAACUGCCUCCGGACACCGGACAGUGUCGUGCACCUGGCAAGUACUCUGUUCCUGUACGUUCCUCGGAACAGAAACUGUCUCUCUGAUACGCUGGUAAAAGUGGCAAGCCCUCCUAACAGAAAUGUUUUUUCUUCAUUUUGGCAACUAAAAUGUUAGGUGCAGCUAAAAUCUGAACAUAUAUACGUAGCAGCUUUGGGAAGAAGGCACAAGCAGCAUUGAUCUGCAUCACAGCAGGAUCACAUUGAGCCACAGAUUCUAAAAUUCUACCAGCAAUGCACAGCCGCCAGACAAGUCAAGGAUACAGACAGGGGCACUAUCAGUUAAAUUAAUGUUCAGGUCCAAACCUGUACACUGCUAUAUGAUACACUGAAAGAAAGAAAAAACGAGUCAGGCGCAUAAUUAUACAUGCAUGCAAGAACCCUAAGGUGCUGGUUAUCAUGUCUUCUAUUUCAAGGUUUGGUUUUCACCCUCUUUUCUUCUUUCCCCUCCUGCCUAUCAACACGCCAUGCCUAUCCGAUGAUGAUACCUAUGUGCAACUUGCAACUCCACUGCAUUAAAUAUGAAAUGAUGCACAAUGGAAGGGAGCAAGAAAUCAUGUAUGGGGUCAAAAGAAUGCCCAAGGCUAU
rnacentral:lncRNA from 1 species